rnacentral:lncRNA from 1 species
GGCCUCCCGGCGUGCCCCGGAGUCCAGGCGCUUGCUGGUGCGCGGGGCCGGGACUGUUCGGCCGUCGGGUCCUCGGACUACGGCCUGGGGGACGGGGACGGCGGCCGAGGCGGGGACCUGGGGCCAGGCUUUCAAGCUGACCCUCACGACGUGCAGAGCGUGGCGCGAGGACACUGGAAGGAGGCCACACAGGAGGCUGCUGCUGACCUCGCGGACCUUCUCUGCGUCCGAGAUUCCUUCAGGAAGUUAAGAGCGAGCCCGGCGCGGAGGUCACGCCUGGGAGCCCAGCGACUCGGGAGGCUGAGGCAGGAGGAUCCCAAGUUCAAGGCCAGCCUGGCAACUUAGACCCUGUCUCGAAAUAAAAAGGGCCAGGAGGUGUCUCAGUGGUAGAGCGCCCCGGGUUCGGUCCCCAGGCCCCAGACAGACAGGGGACCGAGGUCAGUCGCCCGAGUUGUUGAGUGCGGGCGGCGGUUAACGAUGUUGGGGACGAAAAUAAGAAUGGCUGCAGUGUGGCCUGAAGAAGAGCAGAGAUCCCUUCUGAGCCGUGGGGGCUCUUCUGACAGGCAGUUGGCCACACAGACCUAGUGUCGCGGGCAGAGGCUCCAAGGAGAACGCUUUUUCAGAAUCUAAUGAUACUUUGCAAUUGAGAAAAACUAGAGUGGCCCGGUGGCCUCUUGACCUCUAACAGACUUGCAGAAUUUAUAGCAUCCUGUUUUUUUUUUUUUUUUUAAAUCAAUCUCCAACCUCUGGAUUUACCUCGUUCCUGUUCAUAUUCCGCAAGGCAUGGCUUCUUUUUGUGAUGAAGCCUGGAUCCUGCUUACGCUCCGCAGAGGGUGGCUUAGUGUCUAGCUGAUCUUUGUUGUCCCAAUUUGCAAAUCUAUUGUGCACCCAAAUAAACUGUGCUUCAUUUUAACCUCCUUCGUGGUUUCUAGGUUUAUAACACAAACCCAGCAUGGAGAUAGGCAAACACAGAAUUCCUAGAGUGAAACAGCUAGAGCCGGCUGGCAGGCCCAGAGCAGUGGUCAGCCGAGGUCCCCUAGGAGAGGGAAGCUGGGGCUCCCAUUCUCCAAGGCUUGAUGGCGCUCUGAGUGGGUGGGAGAAGGAUUGCUAUGGAAGGCUGAGGGCAGGGGCAGUUCCAGGUUACCAAACCCUACAGAGCUGUGAUGUUUGCAUCAGUGUUGUCAUGGUGUCUAGCUGAACUUUGGGUCCCCGUCCUUCCCUUGGUCAGCCUCACUGCUCAGCAGACCUGUUAAAAAACUGCAGACUCUUAGUACCCAUGUACAUCCAUCCUGAGCAGGCUCACAAGCAAGGUGGCCAUGCUAAUGUCUGCAGGCCACCUUUUGCCUGUAAGGCAUCCUGCCUACUCCCUAGGGGUAAGUGGGGGCCCUUAUGGGUAAAGAUGUGCCCCAACUCUGACCCCCAUCAGCCAUGACUCUGCUGCAGGCAACCCGUGGGUGAUGUCUUGGGCCUUGAGGUCUGCAUGUGAUGCGAUGAUCGGUUGCAACAGCUGGAUGUGGGGAUAGCAGGUUGUGGGGUUGGGGUCUGACCUAAUCCAAGGGCCGGGGAGCUGCCAGGGCUGGGGCUGCAAAGCCCCAGGAACUCUGAGGUGUGGUUUCAUUUCUCCCUGGUCUUCAGAUGCCUUGUUUUCCUGCUAGGUUCCAGGCCUGUUCUCAGAGCUGGAAUCAGAUUGGUGCCACCUCGGUCAGUGUUCCCCUCGGGUCAUCCAUGGUGGCCUGUGGCAGAAGAUAUUUGCCUUGGUGAUGGAGAUAGUGGAGAGAAGAGGGACCUGUGCAGCCGAGCAGACAGAUCUGCUGCAGAGGGUCGAGCUGAUAUUUCCACCACUGCCUGCCCUGUUCAGGUCCAUUUGGGGGAAGGGCACUUGAACCAGUUCAGAGACUCCCCUCCACAAGCCUGGGCUGCUGCUCGCUGCAACAGCAUGUGGCAACAUUAGAAAGAAAAGGGACUGGAAACGUGAAUCUGGACAAGUCCCUUGGAGAGCAUGGGGGGCUGCUGUUUGUCACCCAGCAGAGCUCCUUAAGUCUCCUUAAGAGACCCACCUCUGGGUCUCCUCCCCUGCAUGGCAGCUUCUCAAUUCCUGGAAGUCUGUCCUAGACUCAGUUGGCCUCCCUCGUCCCACUGCCAGCCAGGCUCCCUGGGGGCAGUUAAAGGCAAGGUAGCUGUGCCUCCCAGGCAGUGGGAAUUAUUUGUCCCUGUUCCCAGCACUGGCUUCAGCCUUGUGCGCCGACACUGGCCCAGCUCCAGCCACCCAUGGAGACAAGGCCGGCCACAUUUCUGGCUUCUAAAUCUCCAGGCCUGUGGGAGCGGGACAUUCAUGCUCAUGGACGUGUUAAUAGAUAAUGAUUGACUUUUUAAAUGCUUCAUCAACUCCAUCACUUGAGGAGCCUUAGGCAAAGGAGGCUUAGUACAUGAAAUGGACAGAACGUUCCAGAAGACAGGUGAAAUAGCUGGACCUUGCUGUCCUCAUUCAUUGUGAACCCUGACAGUGGCUCACUGGCAACUCAGGGUGCCUGGGGAAGUGCAGACUCCAAGACCUCUGGUCUCUCUCUGAAGUCCCUGGGCCAAGGCCUUGGGCAGGGGAGGGAGUCUGCAGCACCGGUUGGAAGGGGCUGCCAGGAGCCUGCUCUGGCCUGACAGGCCGGGGACCACACCUGGCUCCCCAGGGGAGGACGUGUGGGGUGCUGCCGUGUGUUCGCCCAGGCUUUGGGGUUUCUGGCAUGUGCAUUCUGAAGACCAUGGCCUUACGCAUGAAGCAGCACGUGAACCCGCCUUUGGUGGUGUUUAAACAUGCCUUUGCAGAUCUGGAGCUCGGGGCUUCUCCACCUCUGACCUCUGCAGCCGGGCCCUGUGGGUGGUCCACAGCCCACCAGCGCUGCAGGGCAGCAGCAGCUGUCAUGUUCCUAACCAGGGGCUGGUGUGGAGAGGGAGGCUGGAUGUGGUUGGCUCUGGGGUGGGAGGUGGCUCUCAGGCAUCAGAUAGACUUCCCACCCCACUGGGUCAGCAGUGAAUGCAGCAUGGAUGCUGUCGAUCAGGGCUGUCGCCCCAGUGAUGGUCCAGCUCCCCAGGAGGAAAACCAAGGAGAUUGCGGGUUUCGGCUCUGGAGCACACAAGCCCUGUUAUUGUCUUACAAAGAGCCAGGCCAGCCUCCUGUAGAGCUUUAGUAUGACUUGGUAUCGGGGGUUUUGUAGUUACCUCAAGAAGCCUAAUUUUGAACAAAUAACAGAUUCUCUUCUCUGGAGCAAUGGGGAGCUAAACAGCUUUGACAGGCUCAUGGAAAUAGCUGCUCUCCUCCCUACGAGGCUGCGUUGCUGCGGAUCCAGCGCUUGUGGAAGCCCUCCUGUGUCCGGCUUGUCUACUGCUGCUGUGAUUGCCCCUUGAUGGGGCACGAUGGUGACCUCUCUGGAUCUGCCUCUCGAGCCCCAGCCAUGGGAGAGCUCCAUGGGCUCCUCAGGCACUGCAUGGGUGCCAACAGCACCUACCUUCCUGACUCACGCCCCAAGUCACAGACUGUCCCAGCAUGCGGCACCCCAGAGACCCUGGUGAGAAAACGGCCUUAGGUGGCUUAGGAAGACGAAUCACCACGUGGUAGCCCCAUCCUGAGGCCUGUUCAUACCACAGUUCAACUCAGUGCCCACAGGGCCCCCAGUUUAGGGGCAAUGGUUAUGCCUUUAUGCUGAUGAGGAAACAGGCGGGACUCCUGGGUCUGGGCUGUGGCUAUGACACUGCUGAGCUGCCCACGGGCCACCCCCUGAAAGUGUGCAAGAGAGCUGGGCAGGGGACGUGGGAAGCCAUCUGUCCUGUGCCCCUUGCCAUUCCGAGGACUCAGGACCUGAACCUCAUGGGCACCCGAGCCCUCCACAGGUCUUAAGUCUCAGGAGGGGUUUGAGCCCCGCCCCAGGAGCACAGGAAUGGGUCCCACAGGGACACACAGAAGGACCCAGCAGGGGUCUCCGGUCUUGGCCUCCAGGGGCAGGGGACCCGCUUCAGGAGAUGGGCCGGACCCAUGUCCCCUGAAGGCAGACAGAGAAGCAGGGAGUGUUAACAUUGUCCUCACCUGCCCAGAAGCUCGGCACCAACAGCUGACCAGGCUGAGCUGGUGAUGCAUGGGGUCGGCAGGGCCACAGAAUGGGCACGAGCCUUGUGCCCACGUGGCUUCCUGCCACUGCUCCAUGGAGCUCUGUGAUGCCCUGUUGAUAAGGGGAGUAUUCCGAAAUGUCCUAGGUCCAGUCACAGGGCGAGGAUGGGGGUGUGGGACGGGGAGGUCAAUCAGUUAUCCCACAGGAGACUACUCCGCAUGCCCGAAUGUGAGGUGAGACCCCGACUCAGAGCUCGGUGGAACCUCUGGACCUCGUGGGUCCUGCCGGGAGUGGUGCCUUCUCCUGAGGGUGAUGGUCCGACCCCGACUUGCUCCUAAGGCGUGGAACCCUGCCCUCUCACCUGCAGCGAAUGUAGGUUCCAUCUACAUCUUCAUGAAGGUGUUCCCCUCUCCAGACUUUCACUACAAAGUGUUCUGGCUCUUAGGUCCAGGGACAUUUCCCAACAGUGUCCCUCUGUGGCCAGAGGUGGCAGGACUGUACCCUGAGGGAAGCGCCUUUCAGCUCUCUCUGAUACAGACGGCCUUUGGGCUCCUUUGGGUUUGUCUCAUGGGCAUGUUGUCCGUGGUCUCCUCGUGGUGUGCCAGUGGCGGGCCAGGCUGGCGCGGGCCAGCGGGUCUGGGCCUUCCCCCCGCUCCCUCGGCCCAAUAGCAGGGAGGACCAGUGUCCUGCCAGAGACCAGCCCCCCGCCAGCCCCAGCCUUCCUCAUGCACCAGCACACCCUGGGACCGAGGAGCGCAGCAGCAGCUGGCCAGCCUUCCCCAGCCGCUGUCCUGAGAGAACAGGACGCUCGGGCUGCUGCCAUCCGGGAGCACCAGGGCAGUGCCUCCACUGACCUCAAGCACCGGCUAAAGUCCCCUAUUCACAUUUUAAAAAGGACCAUGUAAAGGUGGAUGGAAAAUUUGUAUGAUUCUAAAAUUCAGGUUUUUUUUUUUAAUUAAAAAUUUUAAAGCUGGGUGCAGUGGCACACACCUGUAAUCCUUGAUUCUUGGAGGCUGAGGCAGGAGGAUUUCAAGGCCAGCCUUUGCAAUUCAGUCUCAAAAUACAAAGAACUGGGGAUGCAGCUCAGUGAUAGAGCUCACGCACAAGCCCCGGGUUCAAGCCCCAGCACAGGAGGAGUGAUCACCAUGAACUGACACAUAAUAAAAUGAAGAUUGCACCUAUCUGUGGACACCUUGUGAUGUGUCCAGUGUACGCUGUGGGUGGGGUUCAGUCAGGUAGACUCCUCUCACGUCUGUAAACACUGUUCUUUGUGCUGGAAACAUCCGGUGCUUUCUUUCAGCUUUGUGAAGUCACAGUGUGCUGCCUGCUGUCACCCUCCUGCGCAGCAGCCCACCUCUGGUGACCGCCCUCUAUUCCUGACUUCUACUCCUGAUUGCUGGGAGACUGACCUCGGGAUUCCACAGGAAUGAGGUCACAGGGGGCCUGUCUUUCCGUGUCUGCUUAUUGGACUUAACAUAUGAUAUUCAGUUCCAUCCGUGAUUUCACAAAUGACAGGAUCUCAUUUUUUUAUAUCUUUAUUCUGUCUUUUUAAUGUGGUGCUGAGGAUCAAACCCAAUGCCCUCCACAUGCGAGGCGAGCACUCUACCGCUGAGCUAUAACUCUAGCCCAGGAUUUCGCUUUUUAUGGCUGAAUAGUAAUUCCAUUUGCAUAUGCAGCAUGUCUUCUUUUCCCACCCACCUGCUGCUGGCCCCUUGGUGGCCUUUGUCUCUUGGUGGCAUGUCGCGACCCCUUGCCCGCAAGGAAGACGCAACUCAGGAAUCUUCUUUCAGCAGUUUAUUCAGGCCCUUGAUAUUUUCUUCAUCUCUCUCUCUCUCGGAUGCCCCUCCCAGCCUUAAUAAAGCAUCUCAAGCCCCAAUGCGAAGCUGCCACGUGGAGCUUUCUCAUAGGGUGGUGAAAAACCAUGCGCCAACUCUCCCAAAUAAGGAGUUGUUUGUCACAGACCACAGCGGAGCCAGCGCCAUCUUGUAAUGAUGACCAUAGUCUGCAGAAAUGGCAGAAGCGGCUCACCACAGUGGCAGGGAGCAUGGAGUACAGACUUUUCUUCCACACAAUCUCAUUUCCUUGGAUGCAUGCCCAGGAGGGCCUGCUGGAUUUCCAUACCAUUUCCCAGAAUUUCUUUCCUUAGAAGAAUAUUACAUAGCAACUAAAAGAUAACCCUGUAGUUGAGAGUGUCCCUGGAGAGCAGCAGGGGGCGAGGGCCUCUCCCCACCUUCCUCCUGGUAAUUGAAUGACAGUCCCCAAACUUGACUCUGGGGCCUGUAAAUACCACACCUGGCACAGAUGUAGCUCCUCCUCCACAGAAGCUGACAUCGUCACCUGUUCCCCAGGGCCACUAGGGCCUGUAGCCAUCCUUCCCAAGCACACCACACCCGGGGUUCUCUGGAGGUGCCUGGGCCACUGUCCCCUGAACAGCAGGGACACAGAGUGCUUUGCUGAAGGUCCAAGUUCUGUAUUCCCACCCCCGUCUCCCGCCUGCAGUAAGGUUUCUAGCUUUAAGACCUUGGAUAUAAUUUUAACUGAGGGAGCCAGGUGCUGUGGCGCACACCUGCAAUCUCAGUGCCUUGGGAGGCUGAGGCAGGGGGACCACGAGUUCAAAACCAGCCUCAGCAAA